UUGGCAACCCAUUUCAAGCAAGGAAAAUGUAGAUGUUGUAUCCCUGCUUUUUCUGAAUAAUUUUAUUACCCUAUGCAAUAGGAGCUGUUAUCACUGCAGAACCAAGGUCACCUGUGGAAGCUCCUUGCUGAAGCCAGUUUUCUAUCAGAUCAUCCAUCAGGCCUAGCAGGGGGCAGGCAUUGUGCUGACUGUGGAAGAUCACAGAGAGUGUGUCAGAGUGAAAUUGACUUUGGAACUGUCUUUGUCCCUUUUGUACAGACCACACAACUGGUGCCAAUGGCGUCGCUGCCUGACUUUAAACUGUCCUGCCACUAGGAACCCUCACUGUCCAGCUCCAUAGUGCAACCAGAAGGAGGCCCAUCAAUGAGAGAGACAACAUUUAGAUAGGAGUACUGGACAUUUGAAAAUUCUUACACCCUGUGAUGUGACAUGGAGAAGUGACCAACACAACUUUGCCAACUAUACUCCAUUCUUAGUAACUGCCGAUUAGGAAGGAUUUCUUUCUAAGUCUGUCACUAAUUCAACUGUUAUUCACAAGAGAAGUAGAGGCAAAUGAUAGCAGCUUGAUCGUUGAUUUUUGAUUUAGAUGAUCAAUGAUGUUCAGAAUAGUGUUUGUAUGUGUGAGCAUGGAUGUGUAUGUCGUGUGUGUGUCUGUGUAUGUGGUGUGUGUGUCUGUGUAUAUUGUGUGUGUGUGUGUGCAUGCGUGUGUGCAGGGUAGGUAUCACCACAUUCCCUGUGGUGGUGUGUCUCUUCUCUGGGAUUGGUUCUUCUAGAAUCUCCCACCUUUUAGAACCACUUUAAGAUAUUUAUUUAUUCUCUCCAACCAUCCUGGCAAUCUUUUUAUCCUUAAACAGGAAUAAAUUCCUACAGCUGAAUCUAUUCAGGAUUUCUGUGUGUAUGUGUGAAAAUUUAUAUGAUGCUCAAUCCUUUAAAAAUCUUUUAUUCAAGUAACUUUAAAAGUAAAACACAAGGUGUUUUAUCAUAAAAAGUGAGAGAUGUUAGUCCACUUAAUUUCUUGCUUGCUUUCUUUUGUGUCCCUAGAUUACUUAGCCUCUGUUUCCAGCCAGCAGUGGAAACAGCAAGGGUGAGGGUCUUAGGAGUCGACAUGUAACACCUAUUACUUCCCUUUGAAGUUCAGAA
rnacentral:lncRNA from 1 species